UUAAGCUUAAAGGUGGUGGAUCAGAUGCUGAAGCUCGGGUGGGAAUGAGAGAAAAGAAUCAAACCUCACUGAUACAGAAUGGCGGAAACUCACGGCAAGGAAAAUCUCAUGUUUGAAUACUCGGGGAAGUCAAAGGUGUAGCAAGCCGUGGAAAUCUUAAAAUCAGAUUGUGGACAUGUUUGUUCGUCUGUAACAUAUGUGGGUACGCAAUAUUACUGAAGUUGUUCGCUUCCGCCCUCUGCACCGCCCUGUGAACCGCUCUUCUCAAGCUCCACUCAUAACAGAACUCCAAAGUCAGCCUUAGAGCUGUUCCUAGCCCAAGCACAACUAUGACUCCAAUAAUGAUGUUCACCGGAAGCGCAGAGACCCCAAGUGUGAUAGAUAUCAACACAUCAAGCAUUAAACCACCGAUCAGAAUCGAAAAUGCAACCCAAAGCGGACUAAAGCAUCCUCUCUCACGCUCUUCUUGUCUAUAGCUAGGAUCAAUCCUCCAAACCCAAUAGUUUGUAGUUGGUUGAGUCUCAGGAGGUGUGACAUUAACAGCAACAACUUGACAGAUCUCACACUGGUUAGAGCCUUUAGUACGAAACCAAGCAUCUAUACAAGACCUGUGAGCUUUAGCAAGACCACCACGACAUUGACAACCUAGUUCAAUCAAAACCUCUUCUUUGUCUUGUAGACAAACCCUGCACUGCUCGUGCGAGCUUCCGUUUCUGGAUAAGCUAACCUCCUUUUCCGGUGGGAUCUGACCCACCAAUUCUUCCCGACUAGAAUCUCCAUUGCAGACAACGAUUGUGAGGUGGUUCGAUUCAUUGGCUGACUCGCUCUGCUUCUGGGGAGA